AUGCGAAACAGGGUGGCCGCGCCGCCCUGUCUGCCCGGCGUGGUGGCCGGGCAUGAUGAGCAGCCGACC
rnacentral:hammerhead_ribozyme from 1 species